rnacentral:rRNA from 1 species
GAUGAACGCUGGCGGCGUGCUUAACACAUGCAAGUCGAACGGAAAGGCCCAAGCUUGCUUGGGUACUCGAGUGGCGAACGGGUGAGUAACACGUGGGUGAUCUGCCCUGCACUUCGGGAUAAGCCUGGGAAACUGGGCCUACGACCGUAUCGGACCCCUCCUAGGAGGUUGUGCUGGAAAGUUUUUUCGGUGUGGGGUUAGCGCGCGGCCUAGCCGCUUGUUGGUGGGGUAAUGGCCUACCAAGGCGUCGACGGGUAGCCGGCCUGAGAGGGUGUACGGCCACAUUGGGACUGAGAUACGGCCCAGACUCCUACGGGAGGCAGCAGUGGGGAGUCUGGUACAAUGGGCGCAAGCCUGAUGCAGCGACGCCGGGUGGGGGAUGACGGCCUUCGGGUUGUAAACUCCUUUCGCUAGGGACGAAGCGUUUUGUGACGGUACCUGGGGAAGAAGCACCGGCUAACUACGU